UGCAGUCGAACGGCAGCGGACCUUCGGGUGCCGGCGAGUGGCGAACGGGUGAGUAAAGUAUCGGAACGUACCUUUCAGUGGGGGAUAACGUAGCGAAAGUUACGCUAAUACCGCAUAUUCUCUGAGGAGGAAAGCAGGGGACCUUCGGGCCUUGCGCUGAUGGAGCGGCCGAUAUCAGAUUAGCUAGUUGGUGGGGUAAAGGCCUACCAAGGCGACGAUCUGUAGCGGGUCUGAGAGGAUGAUCCGCCACACUGGGACUGAGACACGGCCCAGACUCCUACGGGAGGCAGCAGUGGGGAAUUUUGGACAAUGGGCGAAAGCCUGAUCCAGCCAUGCCGCGUGAGUGAAGAAGGCCUUCGGGUUGUAAAGCUCUUUCGGCCGGGAAGAAAUCGUGUGGGCUAAUACCCUGCAUGGAUGACGGUACCGGAAUAAGAAGCACCGGCUAACUACGUGCCA
rnacentral:rRNA from 1 species